rnacentral:rRNA from 1 species
CCUGCUCAAUGAACUUUUAAAUAGCCGCAAUCUUAUGUGCUAAGGUAGCAUAAUAAUUUGUUCUUUAAUUAAGAAAUAGAAUGAAAGGAUAAACGUUUAUUUUCUUUCUUAUUUACAAAAAUUUAACUUGUACUAAAAAUAAAAAUAUUUUUAUUAUUUAGGAAGACGACAAGACCCUAAGAACUUUACUUUAAUAGUUUUACUGGGGAAGUUCUAUAAAAAAACUUUAUAAUUAACUCUAUUAAUAAAAGCUUUUAAUUAAGAAUUUAAUACGUUACCUUAGGGAUAACAGCAUAAUAUUUAUUUUAAGCUCUUAUAAAAAUAUAAUUUUAUGACCUCGAUGUUGAAUUAAUAAAACUAUUAUAAGCACAAGUAUAAUAAGUAAGUCUGUUCGACUUUUAAUUUAUUACAU